GACGAACGCUGGCGGCGUGCCUAAUACAUGCAAGUAGAACGCUGAAGAGAGGAGCUUGCUCUUCUUGGAUGAGUUGCGAACGGGUGAGUAACGCGUAGGUAACCUGCCUUGUAGCGGGGGAUAACUAUUGGAAACGAUAGCUAAUACCGCAUAACAAUGGAUGACACAUGUCAUUUAUUUGAAAGGGGCAAUUGCUCCACUACAAGAUGGACCUGCGUUGUACUAGCUAGUAGGUGAGGUAACGGCUCACCUAGGCGACGAUACAUAGCCGACCUGAGAGGGUGAUCGGCCACACUGGGACUGAGACACGGCCCAGACUCCUACGGGAGGCAGCAGUAGGGAAUCUUCGGCAAUGGGGGCAACCCUGACCGAGCAACGCCGCGUGAGUGAAGAAGGUUUUCGGAUCGUAAAGCUCUGUUGUAAGUCAAGAACGAGUGUGAGAGUGGAAAGUUCACACUGUGACGGUAGCUUACCAGAAAGGGACGGCUAACUACGUG
rnacentral:rRNA from 1 species